GACGAACGCUGGCGGCGUGCUUAACACAUGCAAGUCGGACGGAAAGGCCCUGCUUUUGUGGGGUGCUCGAGUGGCGAACGGGUGAGUAACACGUGAGUAACCUGCCCUUGACUUUGGGAUAACUUCAGGAAACUGGGGCUAAUACCGGAUAGGAGCUCCUGCUGCAUGGUGGGGGUUGGAAAGUUUCGGCGGUUGGGGAUGGACUCGCAGCUUAUCAGCUUGUUGGUGGGGUAGUGGCUUACCAAGGCUUUGACGGGUAGCCGGCCUGAGAGGGUGACCGGCCACAUUGGAACUGAGAUACGGCCCAGACUCCUACGGGAGGCAGCAGUGGGGAAUAUUGCACAAUGGGCGGAAGCCUGAUGCAGCAACGCCGCGUGCGGGAUGACGGCCUUCGGGUUGUAAACCGCUUUCGCCUGUGACGAAGCGUGAGUGACGGUAAUGGGUAAAGAAGCACCGGCUAACUACGUG
rnacentral:rRNA from 1 species